AACGUAGGACACAAGCGUUAUCCGGAGUUACUGGGCGUAAAGGGCGUGUAGGCGGACCUAUAAGUCUAUUCUGAAAGCUCCUGGCUAAACUGGGAGAGGCGAAUGGAGACUGUAGAUCUAGAGUGAGGAAGAGGAAAGUGGAAUUCCGCGUGUAGUGGUGAAAUGCGUAGAGAUGCGGAGGAACACCAGUGGCGAAAGCGGCCUGCUGGAGCCGGGCCGACGCUGAGGCGCGAGAGCGCGGGGAGCGAACGGG
rnacentral:rRNA from 1 species